rnacentral:rRNA from 1 species
AGCGAACGCUGGCGGCAGGCCUAACACAUGCAAGUCGAACGGAUCCUUCGGGAUUAGUGGCGGACGGGUGAGUAACACGUGGGAACGUGCCCUUUGGUUCGGAACAACUCAGGGAAACUUGAGCUAAUACCGGAUGUGCCCUUCGGGGGAAAGAUUUAUCGCCAUUGGAGCGGCCCGCGUCUGAUUAGCUAGUUGGUGAGGUAAAGGCUCACCAAGGCGACGAUCAGUAGCUGGCCUGAGAGGAUGAUCAGCCACAUUGGGACUGAGACGCGGACCAAACUCCUACGGGAGGCAGCAGUGGGGAAUCUUGCGCAAUGGGCGAAAGCCUGACGCAGCCAUGCCGCGUGAAUGAUGAAGGUCUUAGGAUUGUAAAAUUCUUUCACCGGGGACGAUAAUGACGGUACCCGGAGAAGAAGCCCCGGCUAACUUCGUGCCAGCCGCCGCCGUAA